UGGACCCGCAAUGGGUCGGCCCGGGGGAUUCAACCGGUCCGUGCGUUCGGGACGCGUGGGGGUUAUGCGGAGCUGUAAAGCCCGUGCCUUUGCGUGGGUCUCCGGGCGGACCGGUGCACUUUCCUCGGGUCGACGGCCACGACCGGCUCUCCGUGCGGCCACAAGCCUGUCGCUGGGAAGGUGACCGUCGGCCCCGCGCCGGCGGCGUUAUAGCCCAGCCAGUAUCGUUGAGCUCGUCGGAGGGCCGAGGAAGCUUGCCGUUUCUCAGCCACCCUCCGGCCAUCCUUGCUCGUCACGACCGGGGCGGACUGGUCGGUCAGUGCUCUCCCGACCGCGAGCGUAGGAAGGGCUGGUACGGUGCGAGAAUGCUUCGGGCCAGUGGCGAAUCGGUCGGUCCUCCAUCCGACCCGUCUUG
rnacentral:rRNA from 3 species